AGAUUGAACGCUGGCGGCAUGCCUUACACAUGCAAGUCGAACGGCAGCACGGGAGCAAUCCUGGUGGCGAGUGGCGAACGGGUGAGUAAUACAUCGGAACGUGCCCAUUCGUGGGGGAUAACGCAGCGAAAGCUGUGCUAAUACCGCAUAAGAUCUACGGAUGAAAGCAGGGGAUCGCAAGACCUUGCGCGAAUGGAGCGGCCGAUGGCAGAUUAGGUAGUUGGUGAGGUAAGGGCUCACCAAGCCUUCGAUCUGUAGCUGGUCUGAGAGGACGACCAGCCACACUGGGACUGAGACACGGCCCAGACUCCUACGGGAGGCAGCAGUGGGGAAUUUGGACAAGUGGGACGAAAGCCUGAUCCAGCCAUCGCCGCGUGCAGGAUGAAGGCCGUUCGGUUAGUAAACUGUCUUUUAGGUACGGAACGAAAGUCUCUUUACUAAGUAAAGAGGA
rnacentral:rRNA from 1 species